rnacentral:rRNA from 1 species
GUAAUUAUGAGGUGUUAGGGAAUCACGGAGGCAGCAGUAAAAAGUUUUUUGUGGAAUAUAUGAAGGUAAGACACAGAGAGGGCACCUUAUCUAGUCCGUCAAAUUAAGUGCCAGCACACGCGGUCAAACUUAAGGGCUAGUUUUGCAGGUAAAAGCGUAAAGGGUGUGAUAGGCCGUUUAAAUUAAAAUAGGAAUUAUAAUUUAAGAGGGUAAAUGGAAUUUUUUUGUAACGGUGGAAUGUUUAAAUAGAAAAAAGAACUUUAGAUGUGAAGACUAUUUAUCUCCGUGAUUAUAGUGUGAUGGCUAAAACACGAGAGUAUGGGGAGCAAACAGGAUUAGGCACCCUGGUAGUCUUUACUGUAAAUAAUGAAAAAAAUGUGAAGCAAUCCUAAAAAGUAAGAAAUUUUCCGCUUGAAUAGUACGAUCGCAAGGUUAAAAUUCAAAAAACUUGGCUGUUCACUGUUUAAAUUAGAGGAGCGUGUCGUUUAAUUCGAUAGUCCGCGAAAGACCUUACCCAAACUUGAAUCCCCCAUUGACAGGUAUUGCAUGGCCGUCGUCAAUUUGUGUAUAAAACAUAAAACAGAAUUAACCCAGUGGGUGGAGCCACCCUUUUUAUUGGAUGAAGUCAGGUCUUAUUUUCCUAAUGUUUGGGGAUUAGAUGCGCUACAUUUUUUUAUACUAUGCGCAACUUUGAAUGUGGAGCCCUAAAAUAAGAGUUCGGGGAAGUGCCUGGAAGAUAACAAAAAGUUGGAUUUAAUAGUAAUUGAAAAGUAGAGCGUUUGCAGUGAAAUACCCCAGCGUUAGCGCGAAUACCCCCGUCGGCGUUUGCUUAUAAAGAUUCUAGGGUGCUGUUCACGAGGGCCGCGGAAGAUAUAGUACGCCAGAGAGAAAAAUACCCUUGGUACGUGGGAGGCGGGGGGGAGAACACA